CCCAAAACUAAUUUCACACAUAUAACAGCCUCAAUAAAUUAAGUAAAGUAUGAUAGGGGAGAAUGGGUGAGUUGAUGUGUCACGAAUCCCGCUUCCUGAGUCUGUGUUUGCCUGUGUUUCUGUCCUGGAGUGUGUUUCCGGUGUCCUGGAACGCACCCUGUCUGGUUGCCGGGCGAAUUAGCUUGUUGGGAGAUCGAUGUUCACCCGCACCUGUAUCCCAUCAGUAAUCUGCACACCUGUCCUGAUCAUCACCUCUCCCCUUCAAAAGCUCUGACCUGACAUCCAUUCCCUGCCGGAUCGUUAGCCAUGAACAUUACUCACCCGGAUCAUUUACCCCAUUCCCGCCUGGUCGUCGGAGGAUUCCGCUACCCCAUUGGAUCCACCUAUUUACUCCCAUCAACUCACCACCGCUGCCCGCUACGCCACCUGGAUAUAUCUACCCAUUCACAUUCACUUGUUGGGGUGGAUGUUUUGAAUCCGAUGGCACGGGCUGUACUCUUUGAAAGGAGGCACCCGUCGCUGGCCUGUUGCUAUGUUCUGCAAAAUGCUUGACUUGGCUGCUAUCAACGCACACGUGUUGUUCAUCAGUGCAUGAACAACACCAUGCCCAGGAGAGACUUCAUCAUGAGUCUGGCAUACGGGCUACCUGAGAGACAAACGAGGGCCAAGGCAGCAGCAAAGAUUCCACGCAAGCCUUUGCGCGAGCCAAAUUGCGCACAGCUCCCGGGGAGGAGACAGUGUCAGGUGGACAGAUGAACAAAGAACAGA
ensembl:lncRNA